rnacentral:lncRNA from 1 species
GUGGGGCCGCGGCCCCGGCGUCCGGGAUUUCCCCCUUUGGAAACGGUCCCGCGCCGGGGGCUCCCGGGAGAAACGGAGCGCUGUCGCUGCACCGCAGCCACGUCCCCGAGGACAGGCCCGGGGGCAGAGACUCCGGGAGCGUUUGUGCUUGGAGAGGGGGCCUGCCGCCCACCUACACGGGCUUUGCUUCCCCGGUGGGCCGCGACCUUGAAUUUGAUCCGAUCUCAAGAGCCUGGGGAUCAUCAGAGGCUUAGACCGGGUGGAAAGGCCGGGUUUUGUUUCGCGGUUAUUUAAUGAGCUAUAAAGAGGCAUCACUGCCUAUGUGUCUGUGGAGGGCUGCUGGAUCCCGACCGAUUUGUGUGGAUUCCACAUCCUUCUAUUCACUCCCUAAUAAACAAGGGUCUGUGGAAAGCCAAUCUGUGUGCUUCUAUUUUUAGAAACUUGAUGAUGGGCACUUGAACAACUCCCUGGGUUCUCCGGUUCAAGCCGACGUGUACUUCCCACGACUGAUAGUUCCAUUUUGUGGGCACAUUAAAGGUGGCAUGAGACCAGGCAAGAAGGUAUUAGUGAUGGGCAUCGUAGAUCUCAACCCCGAAAGUUUUGCCAUCAGCUUGACCUGUGGUGACUCUGAAGAUCCUCCUGCCGAUGUGGCGAUUGAACUCAAAGCUGUGUUCACGGACCGGCAGCUCCUCAGAAACUCUUGUAUAUCAGGAGAA